CCUAGCAGAGUCCAAUCCUCCAAUGUUUGAAGGGAGGUAGAAAUCUGAGUUUUUCUGUAAAAUCUCUUUAUUUGUGAACACUGGCUCAAAUUUUAUUAAAAUGCCGCAUGUGCCAAAGGAAACAUAUCUGCAGGCUUGUGGGCGGCCAGGGAAAACCGCUGCUGUGUCACUUGGGGAGAUGAGGCUGCGGCUUCUGCAGGCAGGGGAGCAGGGGCCUGGGCUGGCGAUAGGAGAGUUCGUGGGGCUAGAACUGCAGCCAGAACGGUCUUUGACUCUCCUCUCUUCCAGGUAAGUGCUGUGUGACGGUGGGCAGGCUGCCUAGCCUCUCUGUUUUCCAAACCAUUCAGAGGCUGUCACUGUACCCUUCAUACCGUGAGGCUGGGAGGAUUCCACUGGUGGAGCGGAUGCAGGGUCUUAACACAGCCUCCUGCCCGGAACCUGGAAACCCCGAGCCCCUCCUCCCGGCUCUCUGAGACCUGACCUCUGCUCACCUCCCCUCUCACCCUCCUCGCUCUUGCCAGUCCAGCAUCUGGUGAGUUUCCCGAAUGGGUGCUUCUCCUGCUGAGACUCCAGGCCUGGGCACAAGCUAUUCCCUGCUGGAUUCUGGUCGCCCCCCUCUGCAGACCUCCCCAAGAUCACGCUUCCUUCCGGCUCGAGUCACCCCCGUGGAAAGCCCCUGCUGGUCCCCAGGUGAUGGGGCCCUCCUGGAGCCCCGCCCACCUCCUUAGAGUGCCCGCCCGUGAGCUGCCUGUCUGCUCAGUCCGUCUGUCCUUCUUCCUGAGGGCGGGGUCAGUCCUGUUCCUGCAGUCCACUCAUUGAAGGAAUUAAUGGGCGAGUGAGUGAAAGAACAGAUGAAGCUCUCCAAGGGUCUGGUACGUUUCCCAGUGCAGGGGGCUCUGCGCCCUCUCAGAGGGAUGUCACAGCAAGUCAGGUGCAUCCUCUACCUCAGCCCUCCUGUAUCACCCUGCUGCAUUGACAAAAAAAAAAAAAAAUACCCCACACUCCAGCCAGGGCCUUCCAGUGUCGCCAUGUAUCCAGCCCCACUGACCUCUGAGACCCCACCUCCUCCCCAGCGGGCCCCAGCCCCAUCGCAUCUCAGCCGAGCUGGGCUCUUUCUGUUUCUUCACCAACCAGGCCUGUUCCUGCUUCCGAGCAAGCACUUUCUGUUCCCGAAUUGCUCAGCCCCAGGCCGUCUUCUCAUGUAUGUCUCAGCCGUGUCACUCCAGUCUUCUUGCCUGGGAAAUCCCACGGACGGAGGAGCCUGGUGGGCUACAGUCCACGGGGUCGCAAAAGAGUCAGACACGACUUAGCGACCAAACAACAAGAACGUCACCUCGCAGAGGCCUUUCCCACACACAUCUUCCCUCAGGUCGCCCUGUUUUGUCCCUUCCCAGCGUGUAUCGCUACCUGAAAUGAUUUCGUUCUCUUCAAGUACUUGAUCCACUUUUAUCAGAGCUCACUGCGGUGCAGAAUAGACAGUUUCCCCAGCUCCCCUUGCAGCUAGGUGCACCCUUGCAACCAAGCUCUGACUCCCGGCUUGUAACUGGGAGUAUGUGUAACAGUUUCUGGAAACUUCCCUAGAGAUUCAGCUGUUGCUUGCCCUCUACUCGUUAUCUUUUCUUCUCCACCCUGCCAACUGGAAGGCAGAGGAGAAGGCUGGUGCUGUGGCCUCCAUGUUGGGGCAUAAAAAGGAAGACCAUACCCUGGGAAAGGACAGAGGGUGGGACACUAGGGCUCCAUGGAAUCUUCGGACCCGCCCUGAACUGCCUACAUCUGGACUUCAUUCAUAGGAGAGAAAACUAAGCUCCCCUUUUUAUGGUUGAUGUCUUCAAAUUAAGCUUCGUAUAUUUUAUCAUGAGUACACUUGUUUGGCCAAAGCAGUAUAGUCUAAUGAAAAAUGUCAGUUAGACUACA